rnacentral:rRNA from 1 species
GACGGAGGGUGCAAGCGUUGUUCGGAAUCACUGGGCGUAAAGCGCGUGUAGGCGGUUCGAUAAGUCGAAUGUGAAAGCCCGAGGCUCAACCUCGGAAGUGCAUUCGAAACUGUCGGGCUUGAGUACGGGAGAGGGAAGUGGAAUUCCUGGUGUAGAGGUGAAAUUCGUAGAUAUCAGGAGGAACACCGGUGGCGAAGGCGGCUUCCUGGACCGAUACUGACGCUGAGACGCGAAAGCGUGGGGAGCAAAC